GACGAACGCUGGCGGCGUGCCUAAUACAUGCAAGUAGGACGCAGUUUCGAACGGGUGAGUAACGCGUAGGUCACUUCCUAUUAGAGGGGGAUAACUAUUGGAAACGAUAGCUAAUACCGCAUACUAGUAGAUGGACCUGCGUUGUAUUAGCUAGAAUGUAGGGUAAUGGCCUACCUAGGCGACGAUACAUAGCCGAAGUGGUAGGGGGACCGGCCACACUGGUACUGAGAGACGGCCAAGACUGCUACGAGAGGCAGCAGUAGGGACUCUUCGGCAAUGGACGAAAGGCUGGCCGAGCAGAGCCGAGGGAGUGAAGAAGGUUUUCGGAUCGUAAAACUCGGUUGUUAGAGAAGCGGUAUCUAGCCAGAAAGCCACGGCUAACUACGUGCCAGAAGCCGCGGUAAUAC
rnacentral:rRNA from 1 species